rnacentral:rRNA from 1 species
CCUACGGGGGGCAGCAGUGGGGAAUAUUGCGCAAUGGGCGAAAGCCUGACGCAGCGACGCCGCGUGAGGGAUGAAGGUCUUCGGAUCGUAAACCUCUGUCAGCAGGGAAGAACGGUCACUGUGCUAAUCAGCAGUGAAUUGACGGUACCUGCAAAGGAAGCACCGGCUAAUUCCGUGCCAGCAGCCGCGGUAAUACGGAGGGUGCGAGCGUUAAUCGGAAUUUCUGGGCGUAAAGCGGUCGUAGGCGGUAUGUCAAGUCAAGGGUGAAAUCCCCGCGCUCAACGUGGGUACUGCCGUUGAAACUGGCAAACUGGAGUGUGUGAGAGGAUAGUGGAAGUCGAGGUGUAGGAGUGAAAUCCGUAGAUAUCUGGAGGAACAUCAGUGGCGAAGGCGACUAUCUGGCACAUAACUGACGCUGAGGAGCGAAAGCGUGGGUAGCAAACAGGAUUAGAUACCCUUGUAGUC